rnacentral:rRNA from 1 species
GGGAGGUAGUGACAAUAAAUACCUUACAGAGGUCUCGUUAACCGAGAUCUCUCAAACGGAAUGAGUACAACGUGAAUCCUUUAACGAGGAUCGACUGGAGGGCAAGCCUGGUGCCAGCAGCCGCGGUAAUUCCAGCUCCAGUAGCGUAUAUUAAAGCUGUUGCGGUUAAAAAGCUCGUAGUUGGAUAUCAGUGCGUGUCCGGUCCGGUAUGCCUGGCGGCGGCGCUCGCGCGUCACUGCUGGGCUCCCAAAUAUCGGCUGGCCGCAUUCAAUCGUGCCGGAUCCGUCGCCGGGCCGUUCUUCGGAGGGGCCUGGUGGCGACCGGCGACGUUACCUUGAACAAAUUAGAGUGCUCAAAGCAGGCUCUGAAUGCCUGUAUACAUAUUCAUGGAAUUGGAGAAUACGUCCCUGGCUCGAUUUGGUUGGUUUUGAGAGUCGAAGGGAAAUGAUUAAUAGGGACUGACGGAGGCAUUCGUAUUGCGACGCGAGGGGUGAAAUCCUGUGACCGUCGCACGACGAACUACUGCGAAAGCAUUUGCCGAGAAUGUUUUCAUUAGUCAAGAACGAAAGUUAGAGGUUCGAAGGCGAUCAGAUACCGCCCUAGUUCUAACCGUAAACGAUGUCGACCAGCAAUCCGCAACGGUCACUACACGGACUGUGCGGGCAGCUUCCCCGGGGAAACCAGAGUUUUUGGACUCCGGGGGAAGUAUGGUUGCAAAGCUGAAACUUAAAGGAAUUGACGGAAGGGCACCACCAGGAGUGGAGCUUGCGGCUUAAUUUGACUCAACACGGGACAACUCACCAGGCCCGGACACCGUAAGGAUUGACAGACUGAUAGCUCUCUCUUGAUUCAGUGGGUGGUGGUGCAUGGCCGUUCUUAGUUGGUGGAGUGAUUUGUCUGGUUUAUUCCGAUAACGAACGAGACUCUGGCCUAUUAAACUUGACACUGUC